rnacentral:tRNA from 2 species
GGUGGGGUGCCCGAGUGGUUAAUGGGGGCAGACUGUAAAUCUGUUGACCUUGCGUCUACGUUGGUUCGAAUCCAACCCCCACCACCA